AAUUGCUGCCAGAAAUCUAUGAGCAUUAGUUCGUAAACAUGUUCCUGGAGAAUGAGAGCUAAGUUGUGUUACAAUACUCACAGAGUAUGCAUGUCAAUAUUACUAGUGGGAAAAUAGGAAGAUGGCUCCCAUACCUGGGAGGUGCUCUACUGACAACAAUCGGCUGUUACAGAGCAUUGUGAUGAUUAUUUUUCAUGGAGUCCUGAGAUUGCUGUCUGAAAACAAAGCCAACAGGAAGAGCUAUAAUGAGGAUGGAGAAGAGAGUCCAAUGAUACAUAAGUGACGAUGAGAUAGCUAUUGCUGGAGCCAUAGGAGAGAACAGAUGUAGAUGCUGAUGCAGAUCUGAUUAC